GAUCAUCAGUCUUUGGCGGCAUGGCUAAGUGGAAACUUCUCGUAAGAAACUCUUCCCGGAGGAGUGUGGAAUUUUUGUUAUAUUUUUUUUAAAGUGCAUUUUUUUUUAAAGGUGAAAUUAGCUAGAGUGUGUACUGCUACUGAUAGGGUGACCUAACGCAACAGCAACGAGAUGUGCUCCAUCGGGCAGUGAUAACUUCUUGGCAACCCCAACCUUAAAAAUUCGACUUCAAUUCAAUACAUGUGACCAGAUAAACACAGCUUCAAGCGCAUUACUCGCUCCAUAGAUUCAUUAAACCUUAAUGAACACAAGAAACACUCAAAAAGUAAGAGAUUCUUCGCCUGAGCUGCAAUUCUUAAGGGUGGCGUCUUCGAGGCAUCGAAGACGCGGCUAUCCGAAGUAGCGAAAGUGGUGCGAGUGGUGCAACUUGUGACACUGCCAGCGGAGUGGAUGAGCCCCAUAUAAACUGAACCUUGCAGACCUACAAAGACCCUAUGGCCCAUAAAGCCGGACAGGGUUUUCCUGUCCGAAAAGUAAUGUAACGAAAACGCUUGAGAUGGAAAAUUCUGGCCGGAACGAAAGAGACAAAUGAACCCAAAGCGUCCGCUUGUCGCCACUUGCGUUUCGAGAAGACGCGUACGCAUACCUCUAUCGGAUGCAUGUGGCGGUACGCGGAUGCGAGCGAGACAAUGAUACUGUAGACAAGGAGAGACGGCUCCCUCUCUCCAUCACUCUCUAUCGGGCUGGCCAGGCGUUUGCAUCGCAAGCGGGUGAGUGAGACGGCCAUAGGGCGGACUGCAAGUCCCGAAAGAGAGCGGUAAAGCCAUAUAACCCCUAUAAGCAAUAAACGACGCAUCGAAAGUUGCGUAUAACGGCAUGGGCAUCCCUCGGAAAGGAAAAAGUUCAGACCGCACUCACGAAUACCGCUCCGCUCUGGAAAGACCGGCCAAAUCUGUAAGAAAUGCUCGGCCAGGAGCGUAGAAUCGCCAUAAUGCAGUAAACGACUGCAAAAGCAGCUAUAACUCAAACAGAAGUUGACAAAAGCAAGAGCUAUGCGCUCUAUUAAAGUCACAAUAAGUGUCAUCGUAACGUUCACCACUUUUCACAUUUCAUCAAAGUCCAUUUCUGGUCCGUGCAAAGCAGUAAUGUAGAGAUUCUUUUUCAUUUGAAAUUGUUAGUUAUCACUGCCCUAGGAACUCAUCAAUUUUUGUGAUAGUAGUGACUGAAGUAUUUGUUUUGAGGGAAUUAGAAGCCAGAAGAUUUAGGAGCCAUGCCGCCGCUUAAGUAAGAUCUAAAAGCCAAGAAGCUACACCCAGAAGAAACUGCCACUGCAUAGAUUUUUGAAAUGAGCAAAGAAAUCUAAACUGAAAUGGUUAUCCACCAACUGAAGGCCAUCGAAUCUAUUAAGUUUUAUCCACGUUAGCACUGUUCAAAAUCUCAAGCUAGGCUACUAAACGAACUAUUCAUCACAAAAGCCUCACACAAAAUAUUCAUUCAUGAAUCAGUCUAGCCUAUUUUUUCUUCUGCUUUACCAUUUGAACAAGUACUCAGAAAUCGCUCGAAAAGGGACAUUUUGAUUUUGCUUUGAUUUUGUGCCUUAGUUUUUCAACUAACCAAAAUAUUGCUUACAGAAAUUAAUCAGUUUAUUAACUGAAAAAGCCCUUAAAUUAACUGCCAGGAGGUGAGUUUUUGUCUUCGAUUCUUGGAAAACGUUGAGUAGGGGCCCAACUAAAGGAAAUAGGCCAGACAAAGCCUGUAAAAAAAACCUAUAAAAAUAAAAAGUUCUAAAAGAGGCCACUGUGAAACUGUUAUACAAGCUGGCCUAAAGUUAUGCGUAGAAGAAAACGUAUAAAAGUGAAUAAAUGUUUGCAAACGGAUGUUUAAAACAUGCGUUUUCUAAACGAAAGAUGAAAAAUAAUAUCAAAAAGCGAAUUAAGUGCUGUUCAAUCGUUUGACCAGCAGUUGAUUUGCGAAUGGCUGAAAAUAUUCGCUUAAACUUAUGGCAAAGCUUGUUAAAAUAAAAAAUAAAAAAUUUUAAAAGAAAUAAAAAUAUCCUUACACCGGGCACCUACAAUGCGUAUCCACCCGGGAUUCAAGCAAAAGCUAUUAUUCUAUUGGCCUUGAUUAUUAACAUAUUUCUAUGCUGUGUGUUCUUUCAGAUGAGUUUUGAACAGAGACGAAACUUGGAGCCUCGCGGAGCCAAAGUUUUAAAUUGAUUUUUGUUUUUAAUUCCCUAUAUUCGAGUCGAUUUCCCGCAGUCUUUUCAUUAAUUUUCUUAAACAUUGACUGGCUAAUUCUUGAACCUCAGUUUUCAUUCAAAAGUCAUCUUUUCUUCGUUGGUCCCUGCUUGAGCUUGAAACAUUGUGCCAAGAAUUUUUUUCUGUUCAAUUGAACCUUUUCUGUGCAAAUGUCCUGCAGAAGAGGAAACCCAUUACAGACUUGUGCUUUCUCCUGAAUGUGAUAUGCAAGCAGGUGUAACAAAGCCUAUGAAAUCCGGUCCAACCCCACAUCAGGCCAUAGCCAAGAAGCUCCGCCUAAUACAAGAGAAGAUUAUACUAACCAGUUUGCUAUCUUUCAGAUCCGACCAGAAGUAGAUCGUGUUCUGUGAACUAACCCCUUCAGUGUUCAGCACCUCGUCAAUUGUUCUUAAUUGUUCCUUUUAUUUUAUGUUGUGUUUUAUCUAAUUAACUUCCGUUGUAUUUUACCCAGUCCCCUUCCUUGACUUUCUAAUAAUUUUCCAUGUUUUGACAGAUCCUUUUUUGUCCCACCCGAAUAACCAACCAUACUAUUCUUAUAUAAGGUUCGUGUUUCGGAAAACGCAUUAAAAGGCGUAAUUUUAAAUCGUUUUCCGAAAUGGGAAUCACAUUUAAACAAUAUUUUGAACUGCGUAAAACGAAUAAAUGGAACGGUAUUGAAAGCCUAUGCAUUCAUUACGGUUCAAGAAGUAUAACUAAAAAAAAGGAAUGAAAAAAAAAGAAAAGAAAAACACAUUUACUAACAAAUAAAAACUUGCUGAUCAACGUUCUACGCAGUUCUUAAAAAGAUGUUGAAAUGAACACAGCCAAAGCAAGUAAAAAUGUGUGGAAACGUUAUACGAAUCUUCACCAAGUGCCCAAACUAUAAAAAGAAAAUUGAAAUCGUUAUACGCCUGAGCCGAUUCACAAAGAAACAAAAUAUGUUUAUACUGCGGAGCACAAUAAAGCGAAUGUUAUGUGGAUUUCUUUGGGAAUCGGCAUGGGAUUCAACGUGAAGCUAGAAAAUUUUUGAACUGCUAAAUUAAACGAAACUUGAAUGAUGUUAAAAAUGGUCUUUAUUAUGGUUGGGAAAAUGUGCUUUCGGCUAAUUUUAAAUAGUUGCAGCAACAAACAUGGAAAUCCAUAAUUCUCUUUAAAAAAACGCACGAAAUUGACCAGCAGGAAUCGGCUGGCAAACGACCUGAGCAAUACUCGCCCACCAAAGAGGCUUGACAGAAGACAACCGAGGGACCUCAUUCUCCGCUCAUAAAACACUGAUGCCAUUAUUAUAUACAGUUCGAUAGGAAAUUUUGUUACGAAUUCAACGAGGUAUGGCAUUUCCCUUUUGGUCAACUAUUUUUUAUGCUAUUGAGAAAAUACUGAUUCUUUUUAACCAAAAAUAAACAAAAUAAGAAUUGCCAAAAAUUUGAUAUUUACAAACGGGGUUAUCUCUAUAAGGUGGCCAAAAAAGAUAUUACCGCUUAAAUGAAGACUGUUUUAUACUGCCAAUAAACAUACCUAACUAUCCCUAUCACUAUUUUUAUAAAUAUCAAAAAUAAAAAUUUUAACAAAUUUUCGCAUUUUUGAUAAAAUUUUUCAUUAAAAUUUGCGAAAAAUUGCAAAAAAUUUGACUUUCCAUUUCUGAAUACAGGUCGAUAGGAAAUUUUGUUACGAAUUCAACGAGGUAUGGCAUUUCACUUUUGGACAAAUAUUUUUUAUGCUAUUGAGAAAAUACUGAUUCUUUUUAACCAAAAAUAAACAAAAUAUGAAUUGCCAAAAAGUUGAUAUUUACAAACGGGGUUUUUUCCAUAACUUGGUAAAAAAAUAUAUUACCGCUUAAAUGAAGACUGUUUUAUACUGCCAAUAAACAUAGCUAACUAUCCCUAUCACUAUUUUUAUUAUUAUCAAAAAAAAAAAUUUUAACAAAUUUUCGCAUUUUUGAUAAGGGGUACCAUCAUUAAAAUUUGCGAAAAAUGGCAAAAAAUUUGACUUUCCAUUUCUGAAUACAGGUCGAUAGGAAAUUUUGUUACGAAUUCAACGAGGUAUGGCAUUUCACUUUUGGACAAAUAUUUUUUAUGCUAUUGAGAAAAUACUGAUUCUUUUUAACCAAAAAUAAACAAAAUAUGAAUUGCCAAAAAGUUGAUAUUUACAAACGGGGUCAUCUCCAUAACCUUUCGCCACAGAAGUAAAAAGACUCUAUGAUUUUGUUUCUAUGCAUUUAUUUAGAAAUAUUACUUUCUUCCCAUUCUUGUGGAUGCUCGACAUCUCUUAUUUCGUUGUUCAUAUGCUGCAAAGUAUCUUUUAAUAAUGUUAUAGCAAAAUAAAAUCGUAAAAAAUUUAUGUUAUAUGUAAGAGCUAUAUUAACACUAAAAAUACACGUAUUCGUUUAAAUGCAAGACACAAAAAAUAUUCUUAACAUAAUUAAGUACGACAAUACAAAAAUAAAUGCCUUAACUGAUUUAGAGUAAAAUUAAAAAUUAUACAAAAAAAAAAUAUGUAAAAAAAAUGGAAGUGCGAGUGUCGUUGGACAACAGCACGCACAAGGAAGCUCAACGACCAAGUUUCAAACUGCUGGCGUCUCACACAGAGAAAUAAAUC
ensembl:ncRNA lncRNA:roX1 long non-coding RNA on the X 1